rnacentral:rRNA from 1 species
CUACGGGAUGCACCAGUGGGGAAUAUUGCACAAUGGGCGCAAGCCUGAUGCAGCCAUGCCGCGUGUAUGAAGAAGGCCUUCGGGUUGUAAAGUACUUUCAGCGGGGAGGAAGGGAGUAAAGUUAAUACCUUUGCUCAUUGACGUUACCCGCAGAAGAAGCACCGGCGAACUCCGUGCCAGCAGCCGCGGUAAUACGGAGGGUGCAAGCGUUAAUCGGAAUUACUGGGCGUAAAGCGCACGCAGGGGUUUGUUAAGUCAGAUGUGAAAUCCCCGGGCUCAACCUGGGAACUGCAUCUGAUACUGGCAAGCUUGAGUGUCGUAGAGGGGGGUAGAAUUCCAGGUUUAGCGGUGAAAUGCGUAGAGAUCUGGAGGAAUACCGGUGGCGAAGGCGGCCCCCUGGACGAAGACUGACGCUCAGGUGCGAAAGCGUGGGGAGCAAACAGGAUUAGAUACCCGUGUAGUC